rnacentral:lncRNA from 1 species
CCAAUACAAGCCUUGCUGGAUUGGGGGAGAGUCUCAAUGCCUUAGGGACUUGUUCGAGCAGUCCUUUUAUAUCUGAGAGAUGCAUUCCCAUGUACCUCCGUAGAUCACGACCACUCAUCGUUUUGCAGAGGCACCCCAGCUCUGCACGAUGAGCGGAUUUCAGUUCUGGAUGAGGAGGGGAUUUCACUUCUUCUUCCUUUUCUUUUUCUUCUCCUUCUCCUUCUUCUUCUUCUUCCUUUUCUUUCACGACCACUCAUCGUUUUUCACAGGCUCUCCAGCUCUGCACGAUGAGCGGAUUUCAUCUCUGGAUGAGGAGGGGAUUUCACUUCUUCUUCCUUUUUUUCUCCUUCUCCUUCUUCUGCUUCUUCAUCUUCUUCUUCUAUUUCUUCUUCAGAGGGAUCAGAUUCCCAAGAUGGUACUGGCUCUGCGGCUGGGGCUGCUGGAGGUGAUGACGUGGGUAAAGGAGUGGUAUUGGUUGUAAGUGGGGAAAGCAUAGAGUCUA